rnacentral:rRNA from 1 species
CCAAUCCUUAAAGUCAUCCUCAGUUCGGACUGGGGUCUGCAACCCGACCCCACGAAGCUGGAUUCGCUAGUAAUCGCGCAUCAGCCAUGGCGCGGCGAAUACGUUCCCGGGCCUUGUACACACCGCCCGUCAAGCCAUGAAAGCCGGGGGCGCCUGAAGUCCGUGACCGCGAGGGUCGGCCUAGGGUGAAACCGGUGAUUGGGGCUAAGUCGUAACAAGGUAAC